rnacentral:tRNA from 1 species
AGAAAAGUAAGCUAAUUUAAGCUAAUGGGUUCAUAUCCCAUUCAUAGAGUUCUAUCUCUCUUUUCUA